ACUAUCAUUAACUGAAUCCAUAGGUUAAUGAGGCGAACCGGGGGAACUGAAACAUCUAAGUACCCCGAGGAAAAGAAAUCAACCGAGAUUCCCCCAGUAGCGGCGAGCGAACGGGGAGGAGCCCAGAGCCUGAAUCAGCAUGUGUGUUAGUGGAAGCGUCUGGAAAGGCGCGCGAUACAGGGUGACAGCCCCGUACACAAAAGCGCAUGUGCUGUGAGCUCGAUGAGUAGGGCGGGACACGUGGUAUCCUGUCUGAAUAUGGGGGGACCAUCCUCCAAGGCUAAAUACUCCUGACUGACCGAUAGUGAACCAGUACCGUGAGGGAAAGGCGAAAAGAACCCCGGCGAGGGGAGUGAAAAAGAACCUGAAACCGUGUACGUACAAGCAGUGGGAGCACCCUUUGGGGUGUGACUGCGUACCUUUUGUAUAAUGGGUCAGCGACUUAUAUUCUGUAGCAAGGUUAACCGUAUAGGGGAGCCGGAGGGAAACCGAGUCUUAACCGGGCGUUAAGUUGCAGGGUAUAGACCCGAAACCCGGUGAUCUAGCCAUGGGCAGGUUGAAGGUUGGGUAACACUAACUGGAGGACCGAACCGACUAAUGUUGAAAAAUUAGCGGAUGACCUGUGGCUGGGGGUGAAAGGCCAAUCAAACCGGGAGAUAGCUGGUUCUCCCCGAAAGCUAUUUAGGUAGCGCCUCGUGAAUUCAUCUCCGGGGGUAGAGCACUGUUUCGGCUAGGGGGCCAUCCCGGCUUACCAACCCGAUGCAAACUGCGAAUACCGGAGAAUGUUAUCACGGGAGACACACGGCGGGUGCUAACGUCCGUCGUGAAGAGGGAAACAACCCAGACCGCCAGCUAAGGUCCCAAAGUCAUGGUUAAGUGGGAAACGAUGUGGGAAGGCCCAGACAGCCAGGAUGUUGGCUUAGAAGCAGCCAUCAUUUAAAGAAAGCGUAAUAGCUCACUGGUCGAGUCGGCCUGCGCGGAAGAUGUAACGGGGCUAAACCAU
rnacentral:rRNA from 1 species